UUUAAUGAGAGUUUGAUCCUGGCUCAGGACGAACGCUGGCGGCGUGCCUAAUACAUGCAAGUAGAACGCUGAUGUUUGGUGUUUACACUAGACUGAUGAGUUGCGAACGGGUGAGUAACGCGUAGGUAACCUGCCUCAUAGCGGGGGAUAACUAUUGGAAACGAUAGCUAAUACCGCAUAAGAGUGAUUAACACAUGUUAGUUAUUUAAAAGGAGCAAUUGCUUCACUGUGAGAUGGACCUGCGUUGUAUUAGCUAGUUGGUGAGGUAAAG
rnacentral:rRNA from 1 species